ensembl:snRNA U5 U5 spliceosomal RNA
ACACUCUGAGUUCUCUUCAACUCGCAUAAAUCUUUCGCCUUUUACUAAAGAUUUCCGUGGAGAGGACUAGCAUGAGUUUUUAACAUUUUUUUGAUGCCCUGCACAAGCAGGGCU